CCGUGCUAGAUGGGGAAUUAGCGGUGCCCUGUAACCUGCAAUCCGCUGUAGCAGGGUCGAUGUCGCCGCCAGGUCAUUACUGAACGGUUUUCAUACUCUAAGCGGUGCUGAUAUUUCAAACUGUGGCAAUGGGUGCCCGGUGAAUCCCGUCAGGCCCGGAAGGGAGCAGCGGUAAAUCGACGCAUUCAUGUGCCUGCAGUCCACUGGAAUGGAAUUGGCUGGAUUAUGGACAAUCGGAACCAGGGUGAUCGAACGGCGGUGCACG
rnacentral:SRP_RNA from 1 species